rnacentral:rRNA from 1 species
AUGACGGCGGCUCAGGGAACCACUGUGGGUGAGACCCAGCCACAGCGAGACCCGGCGCGGAAGAGCGACAGGCGGGUCACAAGGAGGCGGCACGUCCUCGGCGAGUUCAAGCAGGCGAAGGAAGCAAUGCGCCAACAAUGUCAGUUGAGCGAUGGGGAUGCGAGUCCUGAAGCAUAUACCUCUGGGGCUCCUCGCAGUCGUGUGAUCGUGCUGCCGGACAUGAGGAAGAGAAAUGGUCAGCGACGACCAUUUAGGCUAGCAUCGUGUCUAACCUUAGAGGAUGCCUCUAACAAUGUAACAAUCCAUAUGGUUCCAAUUGUCAGCCUUAGGAAGCAUAAGAAAGUAGGAGUACAAGAGAAAUACGUAUCUUGCCCCCUCUCAUCCACCGUUGGAAUUGAUCCAGCGGCCAGCAGCAGUUCACAGCCAAUCAACAAAAACAGGGGAAAAUUCUCGAGCGGGACAGGGGAAACGGCGCGCGGGCUGGGAGAAAACUGCGCGGGCAGGCCGUCCCUGCCGCUCGCUAGCCCCGCCGCCGCCACAUCUCGCCCACCCCCCGCCGCCGCAUAUCGCCCACCCCGCCGCCGCAUCUCGUCAGCCACCACCGGAUCUCGCCCCCCUUACCGCCGCUCGCCAGCGGCCGCUGCAUCUCGCCCACCCCGCCGCCGCCGCUGUUCGCCCGCCCCGCUGCUGGAAAGGGAGUGGAUCGAGCUCCGGCGGCUGCCGCUGAAGAAAACGGCGCCGACAGGUUCCUCCUUCGCCACUACGGGCUACUCCACCCCACCCCUCCGACGGCUCCCUCCGCCCCCUGCGACCCCUACUCGAGCAGUGUCCAUUAAGCAAGCUCCAGGCCGACUCCAGCAGACCUGCAAAAGAAUCUGUAUUGUGUUCAACUUUCUGCUGUUGUGUUGUGCUAAAACUUCUAUUUUUUUUGGCUGUGAACUGCUGCUGGACGCUGGAUCAAUUCCAACGGUGGAUGAGAGGGGGCAAGAAGUCAAAAGUAAUGGUGACAGUAGCGCGUGGACAGAAUGCGUCAGCGCAGUGGAGUUGCAACAGUACAGAGAAACUCGUAUUACUAAGAACCAGUGCACAAACAUAUAUGAGCAGUACACAGGCACAACAAUCUGGCGGUUACCCUCUUCACGCACAGCACACAAAAAAGAUUCAUCCAAUUUCUCUCUUUGCACACAACGCCCACACCAAAUCACGCACACACAGCAAGCACACUCAACCAUGGAAAGCACACACCCACAGAAGAGAUCCAACUCAAUUUCUCUCUUUGCACACAACGCGCGUCAUGUGGGAAGCUGGUCAAGCACCACUUGGGCAGGGCACCACGGCCGGGGGAAGCUGGUUCGGCAAGGCGGGCGCGCACGACGUGGUCGUCCAGCCGGCAGCGGGAGAAGGCCAGCAACAGCCGCUCCUGGUCACCGCUAUGCUCCUGCCACCAACGGACCUUGGGCGCUGCGACUUGCCCUGCACAACGCCGCCUCGCCCGUCCUUCACUGCUUGGCGCCCUCCGCCUCCCCACCAUGGCUGCCCUCCACCGCGCCAUCCGUAGCAGCGUCCGCAGUGCCCUCCUCCAUGCCUCGCGCCGCUGCUGUGUGCCUCGCGUCGUGCGGUAGGGUCCCAUCCCCGAUCUCCAGCCUCUCUAAUCCCAUCCACGGGCCUGCUUUCAUUGGGGCCCUGGCCGUCACCACGAUCCCACCCCGUGUGACCGCCGAUCUGGUGCUGAUGCCGCAGAAGAAGCGCCCCCGCCGUAGGAGGUCUCCUCACGAAGGCUCCUCCCGCCGGCGCUGUGGUGAAGAUGGCGCAUCGUUGUCUGGAUCCCUUGUCGAAUCGGAUGGGAGCAGCAGCAGCAGCACGACUUCCGGCGCACCGUUAUCGGAAUCCCUCGACCAGCCAUCGGACACCCGGUCGUCUAGCAAGUACGAGUCCAGGUACCAUGAGAUCCUCGCCUCGUCUCUUGCCAUGCUGCCUCUACCAGCCGCCACGAACGAGGAAGGCCUAGAUAUCCAUUCUGAUGAAACUGUCGAAGCCCUCGUUCAUCCUUCUUUCUAUGAUGACCAGCUGCGGGCUGCUCUCGUAGAAUACCAAGUCCACAAGUUCAUGGGCGGACGAGACUUGCUGAAAGGAGUGCCUAUUGACGAUGUUGCAUUCGACUCCGAGUACCCUCCAGAGCUUGCCUUGGACAGCCACCGUCUUUACCAGAGAGAUGAAGCCGACUUGGAAUUCUCUUCAGUGGAUAGGUGCUCUUUCGUUGUCGCCGCUGCUGGCCGAGGGGAGAUGCCACCGCCGCCCUUGGCGCCGUAUUCCAUUGACGCCUUCUUCCGGAACGCCGCAGAGAAGAAGGCCGCCGGGGCGCAGCAGCAGCAGCCCUCGGUGCCGGCCACCGCGACGUCCGUGGACGCCGCCGUGAUCGCGGAGCUCACCAGGCUGUCCGACACCAAGCGGAGGUUCCUCAAGGAUCCCGCAGGUGCGACCAGGAACACCGCGGCUGCGGGCAACACCGCCCUCUCCAAGCAUGCCGAGGAGCAGCGGCAUCUGCUCAAGACGUACCAGAUCACGGCGCGCAAGCUGGAGGCGGAGCUCCAUUUUGUGGUUGAUCUUGGUCUUGUUCUAUAUGCAGGGUACACUCAAUGUUUCACGUUUGGUGAAAGAAAAGAGUCUGCUUUGUUGAUUUUGGGCAAGAUUAUGAAGGAGUGGAGGCACUCAUGCGGAGCUGUUCAAGGUUCAAGGAGAUACACCCGAUUGAACAAGGUUGUAGCAGAAACUUUUAGAGGCCCUGAAUUGUGA